rnacentral:rRNA from 1 species
AGUGAACGCUGGCGGCGUGCCUAAUACAUGCAAGUCGAACGAAGUGGCGCACGGGUGAGUAAUACAUAGUUAAUCUGUCCUAUACAGAGGAACAACAGUUGGAAAAGACUGCUAAUACCUCAUAGUGUAGGAUGAGACUCUAUCGUAACAGCUGGUUGGUAAGGUAAUGGCUUACCAAGGCUAUGACGCGUAACUGGUCUGAGAGGAUGAUCAGUCACAUUGGAACUGAGACACGGUCCACACUCCUACGGGAGGAGGCAGUAAGGAAGAUUGCGCAAUGGGGGAAACCCUGACGCAGCAACGCCGCGUGGAGGAUGACACUUUUCGGAACGUACACUCCUUUUAUCAGGAAAGCGGUACCUGAUUAAUAAGCACCGGCUAACUCCGUGCCAGCAGCCGCGGUAAUUC